AGCGAACGCUGGCGGCAGGCCUAACACAUGCAAGUCGAACGGACCCUUCGGGGUUAGUGGCGGACGGGUGAGUAACACGUGGGAACGUGCCCUUUGGUUCGGAACAACUCAGGGAAACUUGAGCUAAUACCGAAUGUGCCCUUCGGGGGAAAGAUUUAUCGCCAUUGGGAGCGGCCCGCGUCUGAUUAGCUUGUUGGUGA
rnacentral:rRNA from 1 species